AACGGAGGGUGCAAGCGUUAUCCGGAUUCACUGGGUUUAAAGGGUGCGUAGGCGGGCAGGUAAGUCAGUGGUGAAAUCUCCGAGCUUAACUCGGAAACUGCCGUUGAUACUAUUUGUCUUGAAUAUUGUGGAGGUAAGCGGAAUAUGUCAUGUAGCGGUGAAAUGCUUAGAUAUGACAUAGAACACCAAUUGCGAAGGCAGCUUACUACACAACGAUUGACGCUGAGGCACGAAAGCGUGGGGAUCAAACAGG
rnacentral:rRNA from 1 species